rnacentral:lncRNA from 1 species
GCUCUGCAGGGUUCUCCUGGGUCAGGACAGCUCCUGCUGCUGCUUCUUCUUUUUCUUCUUGGGGGGUGGGGACAGGCAGCAGUUCCUGGGGGGUUCCAGGGCCUCCUGCUCCUGAUUGUUGUGGUCCAAAAAAUUCUGCUCCACAGAAUUCUGUUCCAGAGAAUUCUGCUGCUUCUGCUCCUGCUGGUUCUGUUUCUUCUGCUGUCUCUGCUCCAGCUUUUUCUGCUUCCUCUGCUCCUGGUGAUUCUGCUUUUUCUGUUUCCUCUGCUCCAGAUGUUUCAGCUUUUUUUGCUUCUUCUGCUCCUGAUGCUCCCUCUCCAGAUGUUCCAGCUCCAGAUGAUUCUGCUGCUUCUGCUCCAGAUGUUUCUGUUUCCUCUCUUUCCUCUGCUCCUGAUGCUCCAUUUCCAGAUGUUUCAGCUCUUUCUGCCUCCUCUGCUCCAGCUCCAGAUUCUGCUCCUGAUGUUUCUGCUUUUUCUGCUUCCUUUUCUCCUGAUGCUCCAUCUCCAGAUGAUUCUGCUCCUGAUGCUCCAUCUCCAGAUGAUUCUGCUUCUUCUGUUUCCUCUGCUCCUGAUGCUCCAUCUCCAGAUAAUUCUGCUUUUUCUGUUUCCUCUCUUCCUGAUGUUCUCUCUCCUGAUGAUUCUGCUUUUUCUGCUUCCUCUGCUCCUCCUGCCUCUGCCUGCCACUGCUGCUGCUCCUGCAAGGAAAUUGGGGGUCAGCACCCAAAACAGGGCUGGGGGAGCACCCAAAUCUCCAUCAGGAAUUUUUUGCCAUUUCCAUCGGGAAUAUUUUUCAUUUUCCAUCAGGAAUUUUCUCAAAUUUCCAUCAGGAAUUUUCUCCAAU